GAGUUUGAUCUUGGCUCAGGAUGAACGCUAGCGGCAGGCCUAAUACAUGCAAGUCGAACGGUAAGUGUUGUAGCAAUACAAUACGAGAGUGACGUACGGGUGCGUAACACGUAUGCAACCUACCCAAAACAGGAGGAUAGCUCGGGGAAACUCGAAUUAACCCUCCAUAAUAUAGUGAUGAGGCAUCUCAUUAUUAUUAAAACUCAGGUGGUUUUGGAUGGGCAUGCGUCUGAUUAGCUAGUUGGUGGUGUAAUGGACCACCAAGGCGAUGAUCAGUAGGGGAACUGAGAGGUUGAUCCCCCACACUGGCACUGAGAUACGGGCCAGACUCCUACGGGAGGCAGCAGUAGGGAAUAUUGGUCAAUGGAUGCAAGUCUGAACCAGCCAUGCCGCGUGCAGGAAGAAGGCCUUCUGGGUUGUAAACUGCUUUUUGUCAGGGGAUAAAAUGGGAGUGCGCUCCUAAUUGAAGGUACCUGGCGAAUAAGCCACGGCUAACUACGUGCCAG
rnacentral:rRNA from 1 species